rnacentral:rRNA from 1 species
GACGAACGCUGGCGGCGUGCUUAACACAUGCAAGUCGAACGGAAAGGCCCUGCUUUUGUGGGGUGCUCGAGUGGCGAACGGGUGAGUAACACGUGAGUAACCUGCCCUUGACUUUGGGAUAACUUCAGGAAACUGGGGCUAAUACCGGAUAGGAGCUCCUGCUGCAUGGUGGGGGUUGGAAAGUUUCGGCGGUUGGGGAUGGACUCGCGGCUUAUCAGCUUGUUGGUGGGGUAGUGGCUUACCAAGGCUUUGACGGGUAGCCGGCCUGAGAGGGUGACCGGCAACAUUGGGACUGAGAUACGGCCCAGACUCCUACGGGAGGCAGCAGUGGGGAAUAUUGCACAAUGGGCGGAAGCCUGAGGAAGGAACGCGGCGUGCGGGAUGACGGCCUUCGGGUUGAAACCCGCUUUCGCAUGUGACGAAGCGUGAGUGACGGUAAUGGGUAAAGAAGCACCGGCUAACUACGUG